GUACUGGAUUACAAUUUGGAGUACGGUCUUUGGAAGAUGUCCCGGGUAUCGGUUUGCCAGUAUCUUGGUACACGCACCAACAAUAACCAGAAUAACACUGCACUCGAUGAUACCUUCCGUCAGGUGUACAUUCAGUAUCAUGGACAAAUGGCCUAAGAAAUAUCGGAUGAACCAUGAAUGAUAUUGCGAGAAAGCCUAAGUGCCGUCAGGACAAAACGGUCUGGAAACUUCAAUGGCCCAUCAAUGCGUCGUCGGUCCUUCAGACGAUUAGUUACGCGGAAAAGUCUAGGUGACCAUGACCGAAGACAGUUGCGAAGACAUGUACUUGUCGGAGCUAUGAGAAAAGACGAAGGAACUCUUAAGGAAGAAGGACGAAUCAACGGACAGUCGUUACAUGACAGUUGUUAUCUGGGUAUCUUUAUCUGAAGGGUCGAGUUAGGGGAGUCGAGUGGUGAAGAGACGAAUUAUGGGGAGUCGAGAGUUGAGUUGUCCAGUUGUUAAAAGUUGUAAGCUAUAUUCGUGAUUUUGAGUGGCCUUCCGUUUAUGGCUCGGACAGCAUCUCUCUCUUCUUUGGAAAAUUUCGAAUUACCUGUCCUCCCCGAGCUGUAAACCUGACCGCUCAGAGAUCAGGAAAAAAACCCAGGGAUAACCCCCAGUCGAGAAGACACCAUGGAUUGACUCAUGACGAAUGAGACUCAACGGCUGAUGGAGAGUAUCGACAAGAUCUUACAACCGUCGUGUUCAGAACAUCAAAUUUUACUUGUAUACAACAAGUACAAAUAAAGUGCCAAAUUACACUAACACUCGAUCUAUAAAACCUCGGUUAAUUAAACGAUCGGUUGGACCUGACCGGUCGCUCUAUAAUUGAUAACUCGCAACAAGCUACGAGUUGUGAGUUGUGAAUUACCCAUUUAGUCGUCUUAGCUAUAGCACAUUACUGUAUUUAGUUCGCGUUAAAUAACAAUCGUUUCCUAUUUGUAAAUCCAUUGUAAAUCUAUCAAUAAACUUAUCAUAUAGGAUAGAAAUCA